UACGGAGGAUCCGAGCGUUAUCCGGAUUUAUUGGGUUUAAAGGGUGCGUAGGCGGUUUGAUAAGUUAGAGGUGAAAUGUCGGGGCUCAACCCCGAAACUGCCUCUAAUACUGUUGGACUAGAGAAUAGUUGCGGUAGGCGGAAUGUAUGGUGUAGCGGUGAAAUGCUCAGAGAUCAUACAGAACACCGAUUGCGAAGGCAGCUUACCAAACUAUAUCUGACGUUGAGGCACGAAAGCGUGGGUAGCAAACAGG
rnacentral:rRNA from 1 species